UACGUAGGGUGCAAGCGUUAAUCGGAAUUACUGGGCGUAAAGCGUGCGCAGGCGGUUGUGUAAGACAGAUGUGAAAUCCCCGGGCUCAACCUGGGAACUGCAUUUGUGACUGCACAGCUGGAGUGCGGCAGAGGGGGAUGGAAUUCCGCGUGUAGCAGUGAAAUGCGUAGAUAUGCGGAGGAACACCGAUGGCGAAGGCAAUCCCCUGGGCCGAUACUGACGCUCAUGCACGAAGCGUGGGGAGCAAACAGG
rnacentral:rRNA from 1 species